UACGUAGGGUGCGAGCGUUAUCCGGAUUCACUGGGUUUAAAGGGUGCGUAGGCGGACAGGUAAGUCAGUGGUGAAAUCUCCGAGCUUAACUCGGAAACUGCCUUUGAUACUCUCUGUCUUGAAUAUGGUGGAGGUAAGCGGAAUAUGUCAUGUAGCGGUGAAAUGCUUAGAGAUGACAUAGAACACCUAUUGCGAAGGCAGCUUACUACGCCUAUAUUGACGCUGAGGCACGAAAGCGUGGGGAUCAAACAGG
rnacentral:rRNA from 1 species